UACCGCGUGUGUGAAGAAGGCCUUAGGGUUGUAAAGCACUUUCAAUUGGGAGGAAAACCUACCGGUCAAUACCCGGUAGCUUGACAUUACCUUUAGAAGAAGCACCGGCUAACUCCGUGCCAGCAGCCGCGGUAAUACGGAGGGUGCGAGCGUUAAUCGGAAUUACUGGGCGUAAAGCGUGCGUAGGCGGUUCGUUAAGUCAGAUGUGAAAGCCCUGGGCUCAACCUGGGAACUGCAUUUGAAACUGGCGGACUAGAGUUUAGUAGAGGGGAGUGGAAUUUCAGGUGUAGCGGUGAAAUGCGUAGAUAUCUGAAGGAACACCAGUGGCGAAGGCGACUCCCUGGACUAGAACUGACGCUGAGGUACGAAAGCGUGGGUAGCAAACAGGAUUAGAUACCCUGGUAGUCCACGCCGUAAACGAUGUCGACUAGCCGUUGGGCCUAUAUACAGGUUUAGUGGCGCAGCUAACGCAUUAAGUCGACCGCCUGGGGAGUACGGCCGCAAGGUUAAAACUCAAAUGAAUUGACGGGGGCCCGCACAAGCGGUGGAGCAUGUGGUUUAAUUCGAUGCAACGCGAAGAACCUUACCUACCCUUGACAUCCAGAGAAUCUGUUAGA
rnacentral:rRNA from 1 species